rnacentral:rRNA from 1 species
AUGAAGCCGGAAUUGCUAGUAAUCGCGGAUCAGCAUGCCGCGGUGAAUACGUUCCCGGGCCUUGUACACACCGCCCGUCACACCAUGGGAGUUGGGAGCGCCCGAAGCCGGUGAGGUAACCGAGAGGAGCCAGCCGUCGAAGGUGAGACCAAUGACUGGGGUGAAGUCGUAACAAGGUAGC